UACGUAGGGGGCAAGCGUUGUCCGGAUUUAUUGGGCGUAAAGAGCGUGUAGGCGGGUCUUUAAGUCAGGGGUGAAAUCCUGGAGCUCAACUCCAGAACUGCCUUUGAUACUGAGAGGCUUGAGUCCGGGAGAGGUGAGUGGAACUGCGAGUGUAGAGGUGAAAUUCGUAGAUAUUCGCAAGAACACCAGUGGCGAAGGCGGCUCACUGGCCCGGUACUGACGCUGAGGUGCGAAAGCGUGGGGAACAAACAGG
rnacentral:rRNA from 1 species